rnacentral:rRNA from 1 species
GACGAACGCUGGCGGCGUGCUUAACACAUGCAAGUCGAACGGAAAGGCCCUGCUUUUGUGGGGUGCUCGAGUGGCGAACGGGUGAGUAACACGUGAGUAACCUGCCCUUGACUUUGGGAUAACUUCAGGAAACUGGGGCUAAUACCGGAUAGGAGCUCCUGCUGCAUGGUGGGGGUUGGAAAGUUUCGGCGCUUGGGGAUGGACUCGCGGCUUAUCAGCUUGUUGGUGGGGUAGUGGCUUACCAAGGCUUUGACGGGUAGCCGGACUGAGAGGGUGACCGGCAACAUUGGGACUGAGAUACGGCCUAGACUCCUACGGGAGGCAGCAGUGGGGAAGAUUGCACAAUGGGCGGAGGCCUGAGGCAGAAACGCCGCGUGCGGGAUGACGGCCUUCGGGUUGUAAACCGCUUUCGCCUGUGACGAAGCGUGAGUGACGGUAAUGGGUAAAGAAACACCGGCUAACUACGU